GAGGUCUUCUAUGUAUAGAAGACCUAUAGGAGGUCUUCUAUGUAUAGAAGACCUAUAGGAGGUCUUCUACGUAUAGAAGACCUAUAGGAGGUCUUUUACGUAUAGAAGACCUAUAGGA